CCUACGGGAGGCAGCAGUGAGGAAUAUUGGUCAAUGGGCGUAAGCCUGAACCAGCCAAGUCGCGUGAGGGAUGAAGGUUCUAUGGAUCGUAAACCUCUUUUAUAAGGGAAUAAAGUGUGGGACGUGUCCUGUUUUGUAUGUACCUUAUGAAUAAGGAUCGGCUAACUCCGUGCCAGCAGCCGCGGUAAUACGGAGGAUCCGAGCGUUAUCCGGAUUUAUUGGGUUUAGAGGGUGCGUAGGCGGCCUUUUAAGUCAGCGGUGAAAGUCUGUGGUUCAACCAUAGAAUUGCCGUUGAAACUGGGAGGCUUGAGUAUGUUUGAGGCAGGCGGAAUGCGUGGUGUAGCGGUGAAAUGCUUAGAUAUCACGCAGAACCCCGAUUGCGAAGGCAGCCUGCCAAGCCAUGACUGACGCUGAUGCACGAAAGCGUGGGGAUCAAACAGGAUUAGAUACCCCAGUAUC
rnacentral:rRNA from 1 species